GACGAACGCUGGCGGCGUGCUUAACGCAUGCAAGUCGAACGGAAAGGCCCUGCUUUUGUGGGGUGCUCGAGUGGCGAACGGGUGAGUAACACGUGAGUAACCUGCCCUUGACUUUGGGAUAACUUCAGGAAACUGGGGCUAAUACCGGAUAGGAUCUCCUGCUGCGUGGGGGGGGGUGGAACGUCUCGGCGGUUGGGGAUGGACUCGCGGCUUAUGAGCUUGUUGGUGGGGGAGUGGCUUACCAAGGCAUUGACGGGUAGCCGGCCUGAGAGGGUGACCGGCCACAUUGGGACUGAGAUACGGCCCAGACUCCUACGGGAGGCAGCAGUGGGGAAUAUUGCACAAUGGGCGGAAGCCUGAUGCAGCAACGCCGCGUGCGGGAUGACGGCCUUCGGGUUGUAAACCGCUUUCGCUUGUGACGAAGCGUGAGUGACGGUAAUGGGUAAAGAAGCACCGGCUAACUACGUG
rnacentral:rRNA from 1 species